GUUCGAGACUAGGACGUUGAUAGGUUGGAUGUGGAAGCAUAGUGAUAUGUGAAGCUGACCAAUACUAAUUGCUCGUGAGGCUUGACUAU
rnacentral:rRNA from 1 species